GAUGAACGCUGGCUACAGGCUUAACACAUGCAAGUCGAGGGGAAACGGCAUUGAGUGCUUGCACUGAAUGGACGUCGACCGGCGCACGGGUGAGUAACGCGUAUCCAGCCUUCCCGUUACUGCGGGAUAACCUGCCGAAAGGCAGACUAAUACCGCAUGUUCUUCGAUGACGGCAUCAGAUUCGAAGCAAAGAUCCGUCGGUAACGGAGGGGGAUGCGUCUGAUUAGCUAGUUGGCGGGGCGACGGCCCACCAAGGCGACGAUCAGUAGGGGUUCUGAGAGGAAGGUCCCCCACAUUGGAACUGAGACACGGUCCAAACUCCUACGGGAGGCAGCAGUGAGGAAUAUUGGUCAAUGGGCGGAAGCCUGAACCAGCCAAGUAGCGUGCAGGAUGACGGCCCUACGGGUUGUAAACUGCUUUUAUGCGGGGAUAAAGUGAGGGACGCGUCCCUUUUUGCAGGUACCGCAUGAAUAAGGACCGGCUAAUUCCGUG
rnacentral:rRNA from 1 species